rnacentral:ncRNA from 1 species
GAAACUUUAUCCGAUCAAGUUCUUCGGAACCGGGCCGCAAGGCAGCAGAUUCAAAUCUGUGGGACACUC